UACGGAGGGUGCGAGCGUUGUCCGGAAUCACUGGGCGUAAAGGGCGCGUAGGUGGCGCGGGCAGUCAACGGUGAAAGUUCGGGGCUCAACCCUGAAUCGGCCGUCGAUACUCCCGGGCUUGAGCACUGUAGAGGCAGAUGGAAUUCCGGGUGUAGCGGCGGAAUGCGUAGAGAUCCGGAAGAACACCGGUGGCGAAGGCGGUCUGCUGGGCAGUAGCUGACACUGAGGCGCGACAGCGUGGGGAGCAAACAGG
rnacentral:rRNA from 1 species